CUUCAACUCUAUACCGAUGCCUCUAAAUUAUCAGAUACAAGUCACGUAGGAGCUGCUGUUUGGAUCCCUAAAUUUAAUAUCAUCCUAAACUAUAAAUGCCCUGCUAGCUGCUCCAUUUUCACAGUCACAGCGGUAUUCGUGGCAACGAGAACGCCGACCUAUGUGCUAAAGAAGCUGUCCGCUUGGGUACUGAGAUCUACAACAAGACUUUCUCCAGAGAUAUCCGGGCUCUCGCUAAAUCACAUCUAUUCAAAUCUUGGGAUGAGCUUUGGCAAACAUCUAAGCAAGCAAAAGGGAACUUCUGGACUACAUCAUUGGACUUCCCACCGAACAGUCUUCAGUAUAAUUUAAAUUAACCUACCGACUAAUUUUUUUUUAUUUUUUUUAAUUAUUUUUUUUUACUGU